UACGGAAGGCAGCAGUGGGGAAUAUUGCACAAUGGGCGCAAGCCUGAUGCAGCCAUGCCGCGUGUAUGAAGAAGGCCUUCGGGUUGUAAAGUACUUUCAGCGGGGAGGAAGGCGAUGCGGUUAAUAACCGCGUCGAUUGACGUUACCCGCAGAAGAAGCACCGGCUAACUCCGUGCCAGCAGCCGCGGUAAUACGGAGGGUGCAAGCGUUAAUCGGAAUUACUGGGCGUAAAGCGCACGCAGGCGGUCUGUUAAGUCAGAUGUGAAAUCCCCGGGCUUAACCUGGGAACUGCAUUUUGAAACUGGCAGGCUUGAGUCUUGUAGAGGGGGUAGAAUUCCAGGUGUAGCGGUGAAAUGCGUAGAGAUCUGGAGGAAUACCGGUGGCGAAGGCGGCCCCUGGGACAAAGACUGACGCUCAGGGUGCGAAAGCGUGGGGAGCAAACGAGGGAUUAGGAUACC
rnacentral:rRNA from 1 species